UGCCCAGAGGAGUGGAAAGGCCACAAGUAUUCAAGCCUUCAGCAUAACUUCAGUGGAGUGCUUCGGAAAGUAAAACAGGCUGGAAAAAACCCUGUGCCCUUGGAGAAAAUUGUUUCCCCUUUUCCUCCAGGGAAUCCAGAACCUGAGCAGCAGCUGUGAAGAGUGGAGAUAAAGAAAGAAGUGGAAGAUGUUGGAAGUGCUUUGGGCAACGUGAAGAAGGAUUUGCACAGAAGGAGCUGUUCAAGGGCCCAGCAGCAAAACAGAGACACAUACAUGCUUAUAUAUAGAAGAAUGUAAACCCUCCUGUAUG